CCUACGGGAGGCUGAACCAGCCAAGCCGCGUGAGGGAAGACGGCCCUACGGGUUGUAAACCUCUUUUGUCAGGGAGCAAGGUGCAGGUCGGGACCUGCUGUGAGAGUACCUGAAGAAAAAGCAUCGGCUAACUCCGUGCCAGCAGCCGCGGUAAUACGGAGGAUGCGAGCGUUAUCCGGAUUUAUUGGGUUUAAAGGGUGCGCAGGCGGAGGCACAAGUCAGCGGUAAAAUCGCGGGGCUCAACCCCGCUCCGCCGUUGAAACUGUGUCCCUUGAGUGCGCGAAGGGUAGGCGGAAUGCGUGGUGUAGCGGUGAAAUGCAUAGAUAUCACGCAGAACUCCGAUUGCGAAGGCAGCAUACCGGCGCCCGACUGACGCUGAGGCACGAAAGCGUGGGUAUCGAACAGGAUUAGAUACCCUUGUAGUC
rnacentral:rRNA from 1 species